AUUUGCUGCACUAAUUUAGCCCUUAAUUAAAAUUCUAACGCAGAUUUUGGCAGCUGGAAAUAGAACAGUGCAAUUAGGAAUGCUCCAAAUAUAGCACCAGCUUUUUUUUUUCUUUCCAUGCUACCCUAACUCCUUGCAGUGGGAACAGCCUCAUCUUUUUCCAUGUGUCUUGAUACUCAGGAAAAUGAGUACUACAGGAUAUAAUUGAUUGGGACCCAUUGAAUGAAUAGAGUUGAUGCCAGCUGAAAGUCAACCAGCCAGCUGAAAAGCUGUGACAUUUUCUUACCCCUAUCAACAGUUCCGCUGCUGUAAGCAGAACUCAGGUCAACCUACAAAACCAUUAAAGCAGCAAAUCACCCUUCCGUUCUUCCUGCCACUAGACAAGAAAUCAAACCUCAAAAGACAUUGAUUUUUUUUUUUUUAUUUAUAUAAAAAAAAAACCACCCUUUUUUUAGUUUUUUAGGUUUUUUGUUUAAGGCUAUAAACUGUUGACAUAGAGUUGGCUAUUUUGUAGGGAGAAGGGGUUAAGUUUCUUGGAGGAUGCUAAAGGGCUUAGAUUUUUUCAUUGCCUCCUGUAUACGCCUUUCAGCAGAGAUAGUGCUCUACAUGAAGGGGCGAUGUAAUGAUGCAAUGUAAAUUAAGCUAAGUGAUUAAGAACAUCCAGCACUUCAUAAUGUCAGAUACAUGGCUAUCUGCACAAGGCUUCCGUACUAAUACAGUUACAUUAGUUUAUAAAAGAUGCUAUCCUGAUGUGGCCUCUUUCAGAAAAUUCAAUUUCCUUAUAUAUGUGCAACAGAGUUUCAAUGAUUAAGUGAUACAUGUUUCCUGAGCCAAUAUGGUUAAAACAGUAAGAGAAUGCCAUAGAGGUAAUGUAAGAAGAUCAGUGCUUAUCUCCAUCACUACAAUCUUUACAUCAUCGGGCCAGGUUAGAGGGAAGAGUGUUAAGAAGUCUCAUUGCUAUUCUUAUUUGUAUAACCAUGUAAACUGGGAAGUUUGUUUCACUUACUGUGGAUUUCAUUCUAAGACCUGGUCUAGUCACAACAAUUUCAAAGAGAUCAGACAUCAGAAAACAUUAUUGACCCUAUAAAAUUUCUAUCAACACAGAAAAGUGGUAACAUUAACAGAGAUUCUUGAGAUUUGUUUUCCUCAUGCAGAAACACAUGGUGACUAGAGUGAAUGUUGUGCCUUCCUGACAGCACUCCCAUUGUCUAACUGCAUUUUUUAUUUUCCUGUUUUAUUGUUAUUCCCAGGAAAUCCACAUGGCACCUUAUCGUUUAUUUUUAAUCUAUGCCGUAAAGGAUUUGUUGUUAAACAAGCCCCCACUCUCUCCAGGGUAAAAUAUUUGAAGGUGUCCUGGAAACUCCACAAAAAUGCCGGCUUUGCCAUCUGGUGGACAUCCACCAGAACAGCAAGUAACCUUCGACCGGGAGGGACAAGUCGUUUCGUUUCCCUAAAUGCGGCAUCACCACGAGUAGGAACCACUGCUGCAAAAACAUUAGGCGGAGCAUCUGUAGCAAUUAAAGUGGGAAUGUAAGCCAUGGGAAAGGUGAGAGAACAAAAGUCAUAAACCCCUGUUAUUUGCAACAUAUGGGCAUCAUUAAAAAAAGGUUGAAAGGUAAUUAAAGAAGCUAUAAUGACAAUAAAUUGUGUUUAUCUUGUAAUAAAAAUUUAGACAUCACUUUCCCUUGUAUCAUUCAUUCAUUCUGAUUCCCAGUCUCUUCUCUGUUCUCCCCAGUUCUUUACCUGUCCCUCCCAGAAUUUCCCCUAUCCCGAUUUUCUCCUUUUUCCCCUUGCCCCAUUUGUUCAUUCUUAAAUGCUUCUGCCCCUUUUGCAUAUCCUCUCCAUCCUCUCUUUUGCUUUGAUGCUCUGGUAAUCUCCUAUGUUUUUCUAUUUGACUUUGCUUCCUGUAGAUUUGUCAGAAGCCACAUAUUCCUUGAAAUUUCUCCUGGAGCUUUCUGUUCAUAUUUUUUAUAACCUUAUUUCCUUGCUCCCAGGUACUAGCUGGGAACACAUGUUUCUGAGUUCUCCAUGCUGUUUCCCCAUUAUCCAGGCCAAAUGCCACAGAUGAGUAUUACCUUUGCUGAAACCUUUGCCUGGAAGGCUCACUAAUGCUGUUUAUUUUCUGUAAUCAGUUGCUUGUUUUUAUGAAUUUUCUAAGAGCUUAAUAUCCCUGAAUAAAAAUGAAUUGAAAUUGGACAGCAGGUUGGAGAUGGGUAGAGACAAACAAAUAUACGUCCACAUAGCGUGGUUGCUUGAAAAUUAUCAAAUAAGUAUCAUUCUGUCUGCCUUCAGAAUCUGAAAGCACCUGUGCUUUUCCUCAUAAAAGCAGAAACUAAUGUCUCAUGGGGGGUGGGGGGGGGUGGGGGGGGAAGGGAGAGGGAGAGAAAUGCACAUGACGCUGUCCUCACUGAAAAGCAGUUACAGCAGAAUUCAUGCCAAAUUGAUUUUGUGCUUGUCCCCAAAACCAGAAGGGACGCAUCGAAGGCUGAGGAGACUGAUGCUGUGGGGAGAGUGAGGGAACGUGAUGCUCAGUGGGAUAGUGUCUAAGUUGUGAUAGGUAUUUAUUUAGCACUCAGCAUAGGGGUCUAAAACUGAAGUCUGUCAGAUCUACAAAAAUGUAAACAGCAGUGAUUAGUGUGGUGAGAAGACUACAGUUGUACCUCUGUAAAAAUAGUGCCCUUUUAGGAUGUUCAAGCCUCUCAGUUUAUUUAGGUAAGAUAAUAGAAUCCUGCAGUUAGAAUGUGAACUUCAAACUCUUAGCUGAUCUCUUUCCCAGGGAUAGCUCACAAGUGAAUUGGGUGGUUCCAUUUUAUGCAUUUUUUUUCUGUCAAUAAUGAGUAUCUGUCAUAAUACUGGGGGAGUUCCCACAGUCAUUUGAACCCUGUUUGUUUAUUGUGGCUUACAAAGACAGUGAAGUCACAGGGAUGUGUUUUAAAAUGCACUCUUAGCUGAACUAAAGCUGAUACAUAAAAGCAGAGUAACAAAUCAUGGCUGUAAUUUUUUAGUUCACAGAUAUGCACCUGGCACUGCAGAAAUUGCAGAAGUCACCUAGCAAAACAGUGUUAAGUUUUGUAGGUGUUACAAGCAUGCAAGUAUAUUGUGGGAUGGCUCUGCAUUGCUUUACAUCCCUGGCUUGGUUCUCAGGCAAGGUCAGCCCUUUUCGCCGUGUCCUCAUAGGAUUUAACAUGACAAAGAGAAACAGCAUGUUUUGCAAAAUGCAGAGCCCAAUUUCAAGGACCAUACCAUCCUUGAGUAUUCAGAAUUGGACACAGCAUCCCAUCUGUAGCACAGAGAGCUUCAAGGAGAGCUGAAGAAUUACUUAAUGGUUUUGUAGGUGGUAACACUGUCUAUAAAUUGCAAUAAGGGUUUGCCUUUUUUACAGGAGUGUAACAUUGUUUACUCCUGUUCAGCCUAUGAUCUAUGUUAAUAUCCAAAUCUUUUUCUGUGAUGUUCUUACAUAGCUUGGCAUUCCUCACCUUAUGUUUUUGCAGUUUAUUAUUCUUGCCUAAGUGUGGCAACCUAUUUGUUUUUAUUGAGUUGCCUCAACUCCUCCUGAAGUUGUUCCACAAUAUAUACCUGUUGUGUUUGAUUGGCAAAAAUACCUACCCACAGUAACUGUGAGUAAACCAAUGUGUAUUUAAAAAGAAGCUGCUCUAUUCUCUAGAGAGAAGUCUAACAAAUUAAAUAUUCACAUCUUUUUUAUUGAA